rnacentral:rRNA from 1 species
GAGCCAACGCUAGCCCUAUAUAAUUCCAUUAAACCAUAAAAAUUUAUUAAACUAAAACAUUCACCUUAUAUUUAAAGUAUAGGAGAUAGAAAUUUAUUUCAGGCGCCAUAGAAAAAGUACCGUAAGGGAAAGAUGAAAGAAUUAUUGACAGCAUAAGAAAGCAGAGAUUAACACUCUUACCUUUUGCAUAAUGAGUUAGCCAGAAGAUCUUUAGCAAAAAGAAUUUUAGUUAAAAACCCCGAAACCAGACGAGCUAUCUACGAGCAGUUGCUAGAACGUACCCGUCCAUGUUGCAAAAUGGUGGGAAGACUUAUAGAUAGAGGUGAAAAGCCAAACGAGCCUGGUGAUAGCUGGUUGUCCAGAAAUAGAAUUUUAGUUCAACUUAAAAUCUCUCUCAAAGGACUAAAAUCCCUAAUGAAGAUUUUAAUGUUAGUCUAAAGAGGGACAGCUCUUUAGAGAUAGGAUACAGCCUUUUAUAAUGAGUAAGUUAAUUAACAUCCAUAGUUGGCUUAAAAGCAGCCAUCAAUUAAGAAAGCGUUAAAGCUCAACAAACUUAAAUAACUUAAUUCAAAUAAUUAAUAAACGAACUCUUAUUUCAAUUUAACUGGACUAAUCUAUAAAUUUAUAGAAGAAACAAUGCUAAUAUAAGUAACAAGAAUAUUAUUCUCCUUGCACAAGCAUAUAUCAGACCGGAUGCCCACUGAUAGUUAACAAACAUAAUAAAUAAAACCAUAGAUUUAACUGCUAUUAUCUUUUACUGUUAACCCAACACAGGUGUGCUAAAAGGAAAGAUCAAAAGAAGAAAAAGGAACUCGGCAAACCUUAACCCCGCCUGUUUACCAAAAACAUCACCUCUAGCAUUACUAGUAUUAGAGGCACUGCCUGCCCAGUGACACACGUUCAACGGCCGCGGUAUCCUGACCGUGCAAAGGUAGCAUAAUCACUUGUUCCUUAAUUAGGGACUCGCAUGAAUGGCAACACGAGGGUUUAACUGUCUCUUUCUUCCAAUCAGUGAAAUUGACCUCCCCGUGAAGAGGCGGGGAUGCAACAAUAAGACGAGAAGACCCUAUGGAGCUUCAAUUAUUUAGCCCAAAACUUUCCUAAAAUUCACUCAAUAUGAGCCUAACAAGGAUUCCUCCUGGGCUAAAAAUUUUGGUUGGGGUGACCUCGGAGUACAAAUCAACCUCCGAAUGAUUAUAGCCUAGACCCUACAAGUCAUAGCACUUAAAUCAUAAAUUGACCCAAGAAUAUUUGAUCAACGGAACAAGUUACCCUAGGGAUAACAGCGCAAUCCUAUUAUAGAGUUCCCAUCGACAAUAGGGUUUACGACCUCGAUGUUGGAUCAGGACAUCCUAAUGGUGCAACCGCUAUUGAAGGUUCGUUUGUUCAACGAUUAAAGUCCUACGUGAUCUGAGUUCAGACCGGAGAAAUCCAGGUCGGUUUCUAUCUAUUAAGUAUUUCUCCCAGUACGAAAGGACAAGAGAAAUAAAGCCCACUGUUAAACAGAGCUUUAAGCUUUAAAAGAUGAAAUAAUCUUAAUCUAGUAGACUUACUUAAAUUAUACCCAAGACUAGGGUUU